rnacentral:rRNA from 1 species
UGAACGCUGGCGGCGUGCCUAACACAUGCAAGUCGAACGAGAAAUUUCCGCUUCGGCGGAAAGAGUACAGUGGCGCACGGGUGAGUAACGCGUGGGUAACCUGCCUUUGAAUCUGGGAUAACCCCGUGAAAACGGGACUAAUACUAGAUAAUGUCCCUUUGGCUUUGGCUUUAGGGAUGAAAGGUGACCUCUUCAUGAAAGUUGCCGUUCAAAGAGGGGCCCGCGUACCAUUAGCUAGUUGGUGGGGUAAUGGCCUACCAAGGCUACGAUGGUUAGCUGGUCUGAGAGGAUGAUCAGCCACACUGGAACUGGAACACGGUCCAGACUCCUACGGGAGGCAGCAGUGAGGAAUUUUGCGCAAUGGGGGAAACCCUGACGCAGCAACGCCGCGUGAGUGAUGAAGAUUUUCGGAUCGUAAAGCUCUGUCAAGCGGGAAAAAAUGCUUUCGGUCAAUAGCCGGAAGAACUGAUGGUACCGCUGGAGGAAGCACCGGCUAACUCC